AUGGAAGGCCUUCUACAUUGGGAUUUCAAUCCUGGCCUAGUCGUGGCAGAUCAGGUACGUCGACGUUUUGGAGAAACGGUUCACUUCUCACCAUCUCACAAUACAAAGGAAUUUUUCUUGGUGGUGUCUUUCUCCUCGGCCUCUUUUCCACUUUCUGAAGAUUUUGUGGGUGUGGCUUUGCAAUUUUGCAUUGGUGGACACCCGAAAGGAUUUAAGGUGUCUAAGCUUAGUGACAGAUCAUUUUGUUUCUCAAUGGCUGGUAAUAAAGUGGGACAUUUCAUUCAUGGCCUCAAAGACCGUAUUUGGCUAGAUUUAUCUGUCAUUUUCAUCUUUUCAAUGGUCGUUUCAAUGGCUACAAGCAUUUUGAUCAUAAAUGGCAUGCCGAUGAGCGUCUGGAGCCCAUCGCUGCUCAUAGCCCUGUAG
rnacentral:rRNA from 1 species